AGAGUUUGAUCCUGGCUCAGAAUGAACGCUGGCGGCGUGCUUAACACAUGCAAGUCGUACGAGAAAUCCUURGCUUGCYAGGGAGAGUAAAGUGGCGCACGGGUGAGUAUCGCGUGGGUAAUCUACCCUUGAAUUCAGGAUAACACUUCGAAAGGGGUGCUAAUACUGGAUAAYAUCCWUUUGGUUYAGGCYKWAWGGAUCAAAGAUAGCCUCUACAUGUAAGCUAUUGUUUAGGGAUGAGCCCGCGUACCAUUAGCUAGUUGGUGGGGUAAGAGCCUACCAAGGCAACGAUGGUUAGCUGGUCUGAGAGGAUGAUCAGCCACACUGGAACUGRAACACGGUCCAGACUCCUACGGGAGGCAGCAGUGAGGAAUUUUGCGCAAUGGGGGAAACCCUGACGCAGCAACGCCGCGUGAGUGAAGAAGGCUUUCGGGUCGUAAAGCUCUGUCAAGAGGGAAGAAAGUGGAAGGYGGUAAUACYRUUUUUUAUUGACGGUACCUCUGAAGGAAGCACCGGCUAACUCCGUGCCAGCAGCCGCGGUAAUACGGGGGGUGCAAGCGUUAUUCGGAUUUAUUGGGCGUAAAGMGCGYGUAGGCGGUUUWWYAAGUCWGAUGUGAAAGCCCUGGGCUCAACCCRGGAAGUGCAUUGGAUACUGUMAGACUUGAAUACGGGAGAGGGYAGUGGAAUUCCUAGUGUAGGAGUGAAAUCCGUAGAUAUUAGGAGGAACACCGGUGGCGAAGGCGGCURCCUGGACCGAUAUUGACGCUGAGACGCGAAAGCGUGGGUAGCAAACAGGAUUAGAUACCCUGGUAGUCC
rnacentral:rRNA from 1 species